UUUUCCUAUAUAAAGGCAAAGAGAGUUCUUGAGUUCUAAGUUCUAACCAUCAACCUCUUCAUUCAAGAUUUGGUUCAGUUCUAAUAACACUUCUUAUAUUUGCAACAUAGUUGUUGGUGGUGCAAUGGGAGACGCCGAGCCGACUAUCUCUCUUCUUCUUCUUCUUCUUUUUUCUCUCUUUCUUUCUCUUUAUUUUUUUAGGAAAUAAUUUUUUAAAGUUGAAGUUGUUUGAAAUAUAAUUUUUAAAAAUUGAAGUUGUAUUUAGACAUAUAUUUUAUUUGAAGAAAAAUUAAAGUUUUGUAAGUGAAAAAAAACUUUCGACCAAAAAUUGAUUUAACUGCCCUAAAUCUGUUUUUGGCAACAAGAAAAUUUUUGAAUUUUUUUUUCCUAAAAGAUGAUCAUAUUUCAUAAUCAAACAUUGUUUUUCAAAUUCUUUUGAAAAAAUGAAGCCAAUGACCCAUCGGGGGUUUAAGGUUAAGUUAUGACUAAUUUCAUUUCCUUAAUAUGAUAUUAGAGUAGGAAUCAUUUUUUAUUUAUUCAUGCUCCAGUUUACUAGAGCUGGAGAUGAGAGAGCUGUUAGAUUGUCCCAUAUAGGUUGACGGAAUGAGCCGUUGUUUAAAUUGUAUGAUUUUGGACAAUUUUCACCUAAUUUUUUGAGGUUGAGUUAUUUCCAAAAUAGCCCGGCGUCGUCAUUGCACCACUGAUAGCCAUAAGUUGCCUUCUCAUUUUGAUCUCCAAGACAUGCUAAUUAGAGAAACUUUGAAUGGCUUACCAAAUAUCAAGAAAUACACAUGUUGGAAGUACAAGACUGAUAUUGUUGGAGGACUAUAUGUUUGAGAAAUAUUUUUGCAGGAACCAAAACAUAUAGUAUAGUGUUUCAAUUUUUUUUUUCUUUACUGUGUUUACAGAAUUUGAUUUUUUCAGAUAUCAAAAAAUAAUUAACUUUUUUUUAGGAGUUGCCUCGGAGUAAAGAGUCUUGGAGUAUUCAAUAAACAAAUCAAAGAGAUAGUUAAAGUUAACAUAGUCAA